GACGAACGCUGGCGGCGUGGAUUAGGCAUGCAAGUCGGACGGUAGGGCUUUAUCGUAAGAUAGAGUUUGAGAGUGGCGAACGGGUGAGUAACACGUAGGAAUCUACCCUUAAGACGGGGACAACCCAGGGAAACUUGGGCUAAUACCGGAUGAGAGUGCGAGAGAUUGCAUUUAAAAGGAUGGCGAAAGUUGUCGCUUAGGGAUGAGCCUGCGGUCUAUUAGUUAGUUGGUGAGGUAAGAGCUCACCAAGGCGAUGAUAGAUAGGCGGCCUUAACGGGUGGUCGCCCACACUGGGAUUGAGAUACGGCCCAGACUCCUACGGGAGGCAGCAGUCGAGAAUAGUCUACAAUGGCCGGAAGGCUGAUAGUGCGACGCCGCGUGAACGAGGGACGCCCUUCGGGGUCGUAAAGUUCGUUUUCUAUACGAGCAGUGCUAUAUAUAUGGAUAGUAUAUAUAGAGGGAUAGUAGUAUAGGAAUAAGCAACGGCUAACGUCCGUGCCAGCACG
rnacentral:rRNA from 1 species